GCCGGAGUGGUGGAAUUGGUAGACGCAGCGGACUCAAAAUCCGCCGGGCUUAUGCCCUUGAGAGUUCGAGUCUCUCCUCCGGUACCA
rnacentral:tRNA from 3 species